UACGGGGGGAGCAAGCGUUGUUCGGAUUUACUGGGCGUAAAGGGCGCGUAGGCGGCGCGGGAAGGCGGCGGUGAAAGUCCGGGGCUCAACCCCGGAUCGGCCGUGGCGACUCCCGCGCUGGAGCACAGUAGAGGCGGGUGGAAUUCCGGGUGUAGCGGUGGAAUGCGUAGAGAUCCGGAAGAACACCGGUGGCGAAGGCGGCCCGCUGGGCUGUGGCUGACGCUGAGGCGCGACAGCGUGGGGAGCAAACAGG
rnacentral:rRNA from 1 species